CUGCUGCCUUCCGUAGGAGUUUGGUCCGUGUCUCAGUACCAAUGUGGGGGACCUUCCUCUCAGAACCCCUAUCCAUCGUCGGUUUGGUGGGCCGUUACCCCGCCAACUGCCUAAUGGAACGCAUGCCUAUCUAUCAGCGAUGAAUCUUUAGCAAAUAUCCCCAUGCGGGGCCCCUGCUUCAUGCGGUAUUAGUCCGACUUUCGCCGGGUUAUCCCCCUCUGAUAGGUAAGUUGCAUACGCGUUACUCACCCGUGCGCCGGUCCG
rnacentral:rRNA from 1 species